UUGGCAAACUUAUUGAAAAGUAAGGACGCAAAGCCAGAGGGUCUAAGCCGAUACGAAUUCGGUACGACAGCCGGUUGC
rnacentral:ncRNA from 1 species